rfam:Ovis aries breed Texel chromosome 7, whole genome shotgun sequence.
UCCCUGGUGGCUCAGAUGGUAAAGCGCCUGCCUGCAAUACGGGAGACCCGGGUUCGAUUCCUGGGUCGGGGAG